rnacentral:rRNA from 1 species
GAUGAACGCUGGCGGCGUGCCUAAUACAUGCAAGUCGAACGAACAGACCCUGCGUUUGCUCCUCUCUCGUUAGCGGCAGACGUGAGAGUCACACGUGUAUCCCCUCCCUAUCAGACUGGUAUAACUUCGAGACACCGGCGCUAAUACCGUAUAACAUCUUGCAGCGCGUGGUUUGACAGUGAGUUUCGGUCUUUCUGUCUCUUAUCGAUGCAUCCGCGCUGCAUUGGCUAGUUGUUAAGGUCACGGCUUACCACGGGAACGAUGCGUAGCCGAACUGCGAGGGGGAUCGGCCACACUGGAACUGAGACACGGUCCAGACGACUACGGGAGGGAGCAGUAGGGAACGUUCCGCAAUAGGCGAAAGCAUGACGGAGUAACGCCGAGUGAGUGAAGAAGGUCUUCGGAUCGUAAAACUCGGUUAUUAGGGAAGAACAAAUGUGUAAGGAACUAUGCACGGAGUGACGGUACCUAAUCAGAAAGCCACGGCUAACUACGUG